rnacentral:ncRNA from 1 species
GAAAUGCUGAUGAUCAAGCAAGUAGUAAAUACCAAUGCUGAUAAGAGAGGGAAAAUCAAGGGCUGAAAGUUUUCCUGCAGUAUGUAUGAUGCGAAUAACACUUGGGAGGCUUUUUCCUGAAAAAACAAACGUUUAGUAGGGAAAGACGGAAUCGGCCGUUAUCCGAUUACGAGGUGGAUGCCAUUGUGCAUCAACUAGGGUGGAACCGCGGAAGUUACAGCUUUCGUCCCUUGC